GAUGAAGAACGUAGCGAAAUGCGAUACGUAAUGUGAAUUGCAGAAUUCAGUGAAUCAUCGAAUCUUUGAACGCAUAUUGCGCUCUCUGGUAUUCCGGAGAGCAUGCUUGUUUGAGUAUCAGUAAACACCUCAACUUCCAUAUCUUUUUUGAAAUGGGAGUUGGACUUGAGUGAUCCCAACGCUUUUCCUCACCGAAAAGUGGCGGGUUACUUGAAAUGCAGGUGCAGCUGGACUUUUCUCUGAGCUAUAAGCAUAUCUAUUUAGUCUGCCUAAAAAACAGAUUAUUACCUUUGCUGCAGCUAACAUAAAGGAGAUUAGUUCUUGUGCUGACUGAUGCAGGAUUCACAAAGACGGCUUCGGCCGACUUUGUAAACUCGAUCUCAAAUCAAGUAAGACUACCCGCUGAACUUAAGCAAAUCAAUAAGCGGAGGA
rnacentral:misc_RNA from 1 species